UACGUAGGGAGCAAGCGUUGUCCGGAAUCAUUGGGCGUAAAGAGCGCGUAGGCGGCCCGGUAAGUCCGUUCUGAAAGUCGGAGGCUCAACCUCCGAAAGCGGAUGGAUACUGCCGGGCUAGAGUCCGGAAGAGGCGAGUGGAAUUCCUGGUGUAGCGGUGGAAUGCGCAGAUAUCAGGAGGAACACCAACGGCGAAGGCAGCUCGCUGGGACGGUACUGACGCUGAGGCGCGAAAGCGUGGGGAGCAAACAGG
rnacentral:rRNA from 1 species